rnacentral:rRNA from 1 species
CGCUGGCGGCGUGCCUAAUACAUGCAAGUCGAGCGGACCGAACAGGAGCUUGCUCUUGUUCGGUUAGCGGCGGACGGGUGAGUAACACGUGGGUAACCUACCCGUAAGACCGGGAUAACUCCGGGAAACCGGAGCUAAUACCGGAUAACACCGAAGACCGCAUGGUCUUUGGUUGAAAGGCGGCUUCGGCUGUCACUUACGGAUGGGCCCGCGGCGCAUUAGCUAGUUGGUGAGGUAACGGCUCACCAAGGCGACGAUGCGUAGCCGGCCUGAGAGGGUGACCGGCCACACUGGGACUGAGACACGGCCCAGACUCCUACGGGAGGCAGCAGUAGGGAAUCUUCCGCAAUGGACGAAAGUCUGACGGAGCGACGCCGCGUGAGCGAAGAAGGUCUUCGGAUCGUAAAGCUCUGUUGUUAGGGAAGAAGAAGUACCGUUCGAAUAGGGCGGUACGGUGACGGUACCUAACGAGAAAGCCCCGGCUAACUACGUGCCAGCAGCCGCGGUAAUACGUAGGGGGCGAGCGUUGUCCGGAAUUAUUGGGCGUAAAGCGCGCGCAGGCGGUCCCUUAAGUCUGAUGUGAAAGCCCACGGCUCAACC